rnacentral:rRNA from 1 species
GGAGUCACGCCAGAAAUCUUACCCGGAGAGACAGCAGAAUGAAGGUCAAGCUGAAGACUUUACCAGACAAGCUGAGAGGUGGUGCAUGGCCGUCGCCAGCUCGUGCCGUGAGAUGUCCUGUUAAGUCAGGUAACGAGCGAGAUCCCUGCCUCUAGUUGCCACCAUUACUCUCAGGAGUAGUGGGGCGAAUUAGCGGGACCGCCGCAGUUAAUGCGGAGGAAGGAAGGGGCCACGGCAGGUCAGUAUGCCCCGAAACUCUGGGGCCGCACGCGGGCUGCAAUGGUAGCGACAAUUGGUUUCGAAUCCGAAAGGAUGAGGUAAUCCACAAACGCUACCACAGUUAUGACUGAGGGCUGCAACUCGCCCUCACGAAUAUGGAAUCCCUAGUAACUGCGUGUCAUUAUCGCGCGGUGAAUACGUCCCUGCUCCUUGCACACACCGCCCGUCGUUUCAUUGAAGUGAGCUUUUAGCGAGGUGACGUCUGAUUGGCGUUAUCGAACUUGAGGUUCGUGACAAGGGAAAAGUCGUAACAAGGUGACCGUAGGGGAACCUGCGGUCGGAUCA